rnacentral:rRNA from 1 species
ACGCUGGCGGCAGGCCUAACACAUGCAAGUCGAACGCCCCGCAUGGGGAGUGGCAGACGGGUGAGUAACGCGUGGGAACGUGCCCUUCGGUUCGGAAUAACUCAGGGAAACUUGAGCUAAUACCGGAUACGUCCGUAAGGAGAAAGAUUUAUCGCCGAAGGAUCGGCCCGCGUCGGAUUAGCUAGUUGGUGAGGUAACGGCCCACCAAGGCGACGAUCCGUAGCUGGUCUGAGAGGAUGAUCAGCCACACUGGGACUGAGACACGGCCCAGACUCCUACGGGAGGCAGCAGUGGGGAAUAUUGGACAAUGGGCGAAAGCCUGAUCCAGCCAUGCCGCGUGAGUGAAGAAGGCCUUAGGGUUGUAAAGCUCUUUCAGCGGGGAAGAUAAUGACGGUACCCGCAGAAGAAGCCCCGGCUAACUUCGUGCCAGCAGCCGCGGUAAUACGAAGGGGGCUAGCGUUGUUCGGAUUUACUGGGCGUAAAGCGCGCGUAGGCGGAUCACUAAGUCAGGGGUGAAAUCCCGAGGCUUAACCUCGGAACUGCCUUUGAUACUGGUGAUCUGGAGAUCGGGAGAGGUUGGUGGAAUUCCGAGUGUAGAGGUGAAAUUCGUAGAUAUUCGGAGGAACACCAGAAGCGAAGGCGGCCAACUGGCCCGAUACUGACGCUGAGGCGCGAAAGCGUGGGGA